rnacentral:tRNA from 1 species
CCCUGGGAUACCUCAGCUUGGUAGAGCAUGAGACUCUUAAUCUCAGGGCUGUGGGUUCGAGUCUCACAUUGGGCA